rnacentral:rRNA from 1 species
GUUAUAGGGUCAAGUGAAUAAGUGCAUGUGGUGGAUGCCUUGGCGAUCACAGGCGAUGAAGGACGUGCAAGCCUGCGAAAAGCUGCGGGGAGCUGGCAAUGAAGCUUUGAUCCGCAGAUGUCCGAAUGGGGAAACCCGGCCCGUAAGGGUCAUCCCUGGCUGAAUACAUAGGCCAGAGGAAGCGAACCGAGCGAACUGAAACAUCUAAGUAGCUCGAGGAACAGAAAUCAACCGAGAUUCCCAAAGUAGUGGCGAGCGAACUGGGAGUAGCCUGCACGACUAAACCAUUUACUUAGCAAAACGGUCUGGAAAGUCCGACGAUACAGGGUGAUAGUCCCGUAUGCGAAAAGUAGAUGGCGGGUCUGAGCGUGCGACAAGUAGGGCGGGACACGUGAAAUCCUGUUUGAAGAUGGGGGGACCAUCCUCCAAGGCUAAAUACUCGUGAUCGACCGAUAGUGAACCAGUACCGUGAAGGAAAGGCGAAAAGAACCCCGGGAGGGGAGUGAAAUAGAUCCUGAAACCGCAUGCAUACAAACAGUGGGAGCCUCGAAAGGGGUGACUGCGUACCUUUUGUAUAAUGGGUCAGCGACUUACGUUCAGUAGCGAGCUUAACCGAAUAGGGGAGGCGUAGCGAAAGCGAGUCUGAAUAGGGCGAUUCAGUUGCUGGGCGUAGACCCGAAACCAAGUGAUCUAUCCAUGGCCAGGAUGAAGGUGCCGUAACAGGUAC